rnacentral:rRNA from 1 species
GUGUCAGCAGCCGCGGUAAUACGUAGGGUGCAAGCGUUAAUCGGAAUUACUGGGCGUAAAGCGUGCGCAGGCGGUCGUGCAAGACAGAUGUGAAAUCCCCGGGCUCAACCUGGGAACUGCAUUUGUGACUGCACGGCUGGAGUGCGGCAGAGGGGGAUGGAAUUCCGCGUGUAGCAGUGAAAUGCGUAGAUAUGCGGAGGAACACCGAUGGCGAAGGCAAUCCCCUGGGCCUGCACUGACGCUCAUGCACGAAAGCGUGGGGAGCAAACAGGAUUAGAUACCCUGGUAGUCCACGCCCUAAACGAUGUCAACUGGUUGUUGGGUGGGUUUCUACUCAGUAACGUAGCUAACGCGUGAAGUUGACCGCCUGGGGAGUACGGCCGCAAGGUUGAA